GGAGCGUGUCGUACCAACAAGGAAGGGGCUUGAAAUGAUGAAAAGCUUAGCUCCCUCACUGGGAAAAUUGCUUUCCUCCCCCCUAUCUUUCUCGUUCCUUGUCCUGUGUAAAAUAGAGAUUAUGAUUAUCCUAGGGGAACUGUGAGCUUAAAUUCCUUGCUGUUUGUAAAAAUGUGCUUCCACGAUGCAGGAGAAAGCUGCAGUUGCUGUGAGAGCAGCUAGAUUAGGGCUAGCCUUAAUGAUCUGUAGUUUAAGAAUUUCCAUCAGCAGGCCUAGAUAUGGGACAAAAUUCUACCUGCACAUAUGAGUAACAAACCUGUUAAUGACUUAGGCCAUCAAGGACAGUAGGGCAUGGGCUUGUCAUCCUUUCAGGGUAAGCUGGACUCAAGAACAAUAUGUGUGUUUCUUACCUAUGUAGUUCACUCCAUUCAGAAACUCUCUCUUCAUGUCUUGGAGCUGCACCUGGAUUUGUUCUAGUCUGAGGCUGAAUUCUUCUGGCCGGCAUUGUUCUAGAGCAAUCGGACAGCUGAAUUUACAGAAGGCCAGGACACACACAUGCCUUUGUCCUGACAAGGUGGUCAGAGGGAGGAAGAUCCUGCCGCAUGACUGUAUUCAAUGGCUGGGACAAGUGGAGGUUACUGCCCAGUGCUCCUGUGCACUCAACAAGGUCCUCUGGAGCCUGGAUCAACCCUUUCUGGUUGCACAGCCAAAACCCACAGCAGGCCACUCCUGAACUGGUCCAAUCUGGCUGCACAAUUGCUUCAGCAUGGUUGAGCUUAACUGACCGGAGAGCUUUGUUAUCGCUCACCAGACCUCAGGUAAAUGCUGCUGUGCAGAAACUGGUCCUUGCUGUGAUGUAGCAUCAUGGUGACAUUACAGUCACUUAUAAUUCCAGUCACUUAGCAGUCUGUCCCAAAAGCCCUUUAUGAGAAAUGCCCUAUUAGCUCCUUUGUCAGGUUGUUCCCAAAUUCAUGGCAGGACAGAAAAGGAAAUUUGUGUGGAAAGGUGAAACAUGGAAGAAAGAGAAUCUGCUCUGCCUGGUAAAGAGCUACCACUUACCU